UUGCCCGGUGAGGGGAGAAAUGGGAGCGAUCUGGAAGGCGUCUGCAAAACCCGGGUUGGAUUAGACAGAGAUGGGAGGAACGAAGGCAGCUGCGACAGGGCCAAAUGCACCCCGGGCACGCAAAUUUCGGGCCGGACUCUUCCUCGGGAGACGGAGUAAUGCGUCAUGCCUAAUGCAGUGGGAAUAAGCAAGACCUGGCCUAGAGCUCCCAGACCUGGGCUCGCAGGGGUCUCCGGGAGGGGGCUAUUUAGUGGCUGAGGCGGCGUGGGCUGCCCUCGUCUUCCUGGCAGCGACGUGCAAGAAGGAGGGGCAAAAGGAGGGCUGGACUCGGGCACGAAAGGAUCUGGAGCGCCGGCUGCACCGAAGCAGGCAGCAUGCAGAACUUCCCUGAACCCAUGUCCCCUGCAUCAGAAACAUGGAGCCUUAACCACCAGAACACCAGGGAAUUCCUGACCAGCAUCCUUAGAAGAGAAGAGGAAAGGACAGUGGAAAAGGCCACAUGAAGAUGGAGGCAGAAGUUGGAGUGAUGCAGUCACACAGCAAGGCACACCUGGAAAUGCCAGACGCUGGGCAGGAAACAUACUCCGUGUAUACCAGAAGACAAUAAAUUCUGCCCAAACUUCUGGCCUUGAGGAAAUCA